rnacentral:rRNA from 1 species
AGAGUUUGAUUCUGGCUCAGAACGAACGCUGGCGGCGUGGAUAAGACAUGCAAGUCGAACGGAAAAUGAGAAUAGCUUGCUAAUCUCAUUUUUAGUGGCGGACGGGUUAGUAACACGUGAGAUACAUACCUCUUAGACAGGAAUAGCCCAUGGAAACGUGGAUUAAUGCCUGAUAGUUCCUACGGGAUAAAGGAUGCCUUCGGGUGUCGCUAAGAGAUUGGCUCGCGGCCUAUCAGUUAGUUGGUGAGGUAAAGGCUCACCAAGACGACGACGGGUAGCUGGUCUGAGAGGACGAUCAGCAACACUGGAACUGAGACACGGUCCAGACACCUACGGGUGGCAGCAGUCGAGAAUCAUUCACAAUGGACGAAAGUCUGAUGGUGCAACGCCGCGUGGAGGAUGACGGUCCUAGGAUUGUAAACUCCUGUCAUUGGGGAGUAAGACUUAGUUGUUAAUAGCUUCUAAGUUUGAUAGUACCCAAAGAGGAAGGGACGGCUAACUUCGUGCCAGCAGCCGCGGUAAUACGAAGGUCCCAAGCGUUGUUCGGAAUAACUGGGCGUAAAGCGUGUGUAGGCUGCGCGGAAAGUCAAAUGUGAAAGCCAGAGGCUCAACCUCUGAACUGCAUUCGAUACUCCCGUGCUAGAGUAAUGGAGAGGUAAGUGGAAUUCUCGGUGUAGCAGUGAAAUGCGUAGAUAUCGAGAGGAACAUCAAUGGCGAAGGCAACUUACUGGACAUUUACUGACGCUCAGACACGAAGGCUAGGGGAGCGAGAGGGAUUAGAUACCCCUGUAGUCCUAGCAGUAAACGGUGCUCGCUUGGUGUGGGAGGGUUCGACCCCUUCUGUGCCGGAGCUAACGCGUUAAGCGAGCCGCCUGGGAAGUACGGUCGCAAGACUAAAACUCAAAGAAAUUGACGGGGACCCGCACAAGCGGUGGAGUAUGUGGCUUAAUUCGAUGCAACGCGAAGAACCUUACCUAGGCUUGACAUGCUUGUCGUACUCUCCCGAAAAGGAGAGGUCACUUCGGGUGGACAAUGCACAGGUGCUGCAUGGCCGUCGUCAGCUCGUGUCGUGAGAUGUUUGGUUAAGUCCAGCAACGAGCGCAACCCCUGUGAAUAGUUGCCAGCGCGUAAAGGCGGGGACUCUAUUCAGACUGCCCAGAUCAACUGGGAGGAAGGUGGGGACGACGUCAGGUCAGUAUGGCCCUUACGCCUAGGGCUGCACACGUACUACAAUGCCCAGUACAAUGAGAACCGAUACCGCGAGGUGGAGGAAAUCUGCAAAACUGGGCCCAGUUCGGAUUGGAGGCUGCAACUCGCCUCCAUGAAGUCGGAAUCGCUAGUAAUGCCGUAUCAGCUACGACGGCGUGAAUACGUUCCCGGGUCUUGUACACACCGCCCGUCACAUCAUGGAAGCCGGUCGCACCCGAAGUAUAUGCGCUAACUUUAUUGAAGCAGUAUCCUAAGGUGAGGCUGGUAACUGGGAUGAAGUCGUAACAAGGUA